GGGUCUAUCUAAUUUGCUGAAUUGCGGAACUGCUGAACUGGGCUACUUCACGGGCUACUUUAGCUCAAAAGUAAGUUGGGUUAGAAUAAUUAGAAUACCCAGUCAUAUUUACUAGUACUCGAAAAUAAAAAGUUGUUUAAAUACGGUAGAAUUGAUCACAUUUACAGUUUCAUAAUUUCUGGUUAUGUUUUUACAGAUAUUUUAAGAGCAAAUCAGUAGAUUUACUGAAC